GCCAGUGUAGCAUAAUGGUUUGAGUGUUGGACUACAACACUGGAGACCAGGGUUCGAUUUCCAGCUUGGCA